CUCUUGUGGAGGCAGCUAGCGCGAGGCUGGGGAGCGCUGAGCCGCGCGUCGUGCCUUGCGCUGCCCAGACUAGCGAACAAUACAGUCAGGAUGGCUAAAGGUGACCCGAAGAAACCAAAGGGCAAGAUGUCUGCUUAUGCCUUCUUUGUGCAGACGUGCAGAGAAGAACAUAAGAAGAAAAACCCGGAGGUCCCUGUGAACUUUGCAGAAUUUUCCAAGAAGUGCUCUGAGAGGUGGAAGACGAUGUCCGGGAAAGAGAAAUCUAAAUUUGAUGAAAUGGCAAAGGCAGAUAAAGUGCGCUAUGACCGGGAAAUGAAGGAUUAUGGACCAGCUAAGGGAGGCAAGAAGAAGAAGGAUCCUAAUGCUCCCAAAAGGCCACCGUCUGGAUUCUUCCUGUUCUGUUCAGAAUUCCGUCCCAAGAUCAAAUCCACAAACCCCGGCAUCUCUAUUGGAGACGUGGCAAAAAAGCUGGGUGAGAUGUGGAAUAAUUUAAAUGACAGUGAAAAGCAGCCUUACAUCACUAAGGCAGCAAAGCUGAAGGAGAAGUAUGAGAAGGAUGUUGCCGACUAUAAGUCAAAAGGAAAGUUUGAUGGUGCAAAGGGUCCUGCUAAAGUUGCCCGGAAAAAGGUGGAAGAGGAAGAUGAAGAAGAAGGGGAGGAAGAAGAGGAGGAGGAGGAGGAGGAGGAUGAAUAAAGAAACUGUUGAUCUGUCUCCUUGUGAAUACUUAGAGUAGGGGAGCGCCGUAAUUGACUCAUCUCUUAUUUGAGAAGUGUCUGUUGCCCUCAUUAGGUUUAAUUACAAAAUUUGAUCACGGUCAUAUUGUAGUCUCUCAAAGUGCUCUAGAAAUUGUCAGUGGUUUACAUGAAGUGGCCAUGGGUGUCUGGAGCACCCUGAAACUGUAUCAAAGUUGUACAUAUUUCCAAACAUUUUUAAAAUGAAAAGGCACUCUUCGUGUUCUCCUCACUCUGUGCACUUUGCUGUUGGUGUGACAAGGCAUUUAAAGAUGUUUCUGGCUUUUUUUUUUUUAAAUUUGUAAGGUGGUGUUAACUAUGGUUAUUGGCUAGAAAUCCUGAGUUUUCAACUGUAUAUAUCUAUAGUUUGUAAAAAGAACAAAACAACCGAGACAAACUCUUGAUGCUCCUUGCUCGGCGUUGAGGCUGUGGGGAAGAUGCCUUUUGGAGAGGCUAUAGCUCAGGGUGUGCACUGUGAGGCUGGACCUGUUGACUCUGCAGGGGGCAUCCAUUUAGCUUCAGGUUGUCUUGUUUCUGUAUAUAGUGACAUAGCAUUCUGCUGCCAUCUUAGCUGUGGACAGAGAGGUCAGCUGGCAUGAGAAUUUUUUUUUUAAGUGCGGUAGUUUUUAAACUGUUUGUUUUUAAACAAACUGUAGAACUCUUCAUUGUCAGCAAAGCAAAGAGCCACUGCAUCAAUGAAAGUUCAAGAACCUCCUGUACUUAAACAUGAUUUGCAACGUUCUGUUAUUUUUUUUUUUUGUAUGUUUAGAAUGCUGAAAUGUUUUUGAAGUUAAAUAAACAGUAUUACAUUAAAAAAAAAA